rnacentral:rRNA from 1 species
GGGGGACAACAUUUGGAAACGAAUGCUAAUACCGCAUAAAAACUUUAAACACAAGUUUUAAGUUUGAAAGAUGCAAUUGCAUCACUCAAAGAUGAUCCCGCGUUGUAUUAGCUAGUUGGUGAGGUAAAGGCUCACCAAGGCGAUGAUGCAUAGCCGACCUGAGAGGGUGAUCGGCCACAUUGGGACUGAGACACGGCCCAAACUCCUACGGGAGGCAGCAGUAGGGAAUCUUCGGCAAUGGACGAAAGUCUGACCGAGCAACGCCGCGUGAGUGAAGAAGGUUUUCGGAUCGUAAAACUCUGUUGGUAGAGAAGAACGUUGGUGAGAGUGGAAAGCUCAUCAAGUGACGGUAACUACCCAGAAAGGGACGGCUAACUACGUGCCAGCAGCCGUGGUAAUACGUAGGUCCCGAGCGUUGUCCGGAUUUAUUGGGCGUAAAGCGAGCGCAGGUGGUUUAUUAAGUCUGGUGUAAAAGGCAGUGGCUCAACCAUUGUAUGCAUUGGAAACUGGUAGACUUGAGUGCAGGAGAGGAGAGUGGAAUUCCAUGUGUAGCGGUGAAAUGCGUAGAUAUAUGGAGGAACACCGGUGGCGAAAGCGGCUCUCUGGCCUGUAACUGACACUGAGGCUCGAAAGCGUGGGGAGCAAACAGGAUUAGAUACCCUGGUAGUCCACGCCGUAAACGAUGAGUGCUAGAUGUAGGGAGCUAUAAGUUCUCUGUAUCGCAGCUACGCA